rnacentral:rRNA from 1 species
AUUGAACGCUGGCGGCAUGCCUUACACAUGCAAGUCGAACGGUAACAGGUCUUCGGAUGCUGACGAGUGGCGAACGGGUGAGUAAUACAUCGGAACGUGCCCGAGAGUGGGGGAUAACGAGGCGAAAGCUUUGCUAAUACCGCAUACGAUCUCAGGAUGAAAGCAGGGGACCGCAAGGCCUUGCGCUCACGGAGCGGCCGAUGGCAAAUUAGGUAGUUGGUGGGAUAAAAGCUUACCAAGCCGACGAUCUGUAGCUGGUCUGAGAGGACGACCAGCCACACUGGGACUGGGACACGGCCCAGACUCCUACGGGAGGCAGCAGUGGGGAAUUUUGGACAAUGGGCGCAAGCCUGAUCCAGCCACGCCGCGUGCAGGAUGAAGGCCUUCGGGUUGUAAACUGCUUUUGUACGGAACGAAAAGACUCUGGUUAAUACCUGGGGUCCAUGACGGUACCGUAAGAAUAAGCACCGGCUAACUACGUGCCAGCAGCCGCCGCGGUAA